rnacentral:rRNA from 1 species
UACGUAGGUGGCGAGCGUUGUCCGGAUUUACUGGGCGUAAAGAGCGCGCAGGCGGCUGGUCAAGUCCGAUGUGAAAGCUCCCGGCUUAACUGGGAAAUUGCAUCGGAAACUGAUCGGCUGGAAGGUGGGAGAGGGUAGCGGAAUUCCGGGUGUAGCGGUGGAAUGCGUAGAGAUCCGGAAGAACACCGGUGGCGAAGGCGGCCUGCUGGGCAGUAGCUGACGCUGAAGCGCGACAGCGUGGGGAGCAAACAGG